rnacentral:lncRNA from 1 species
GAGCAUGCACAAGAGGCCUGGGUGGUCCGGGUGGACAUCGGCAUAACCCCAAUCCCCGAACAUCUAGGCCUCGCUUUGCAACGGGCUAGACAAACUAUUGGCCAUUUUAUGGGUCCAUGCAACCAUGAGAUAACUGCCAUCAUCACUAUCUUGCUGCAGCCGGCCGGUGAUAUCUGCACCGAAGUGAAGAACACAGUGAACGGUGGUGGAAGCCAAACUGAAGCCUCAGCUUUGCUGCUCACCUCGCUGGUUUCCGGCAUCGGAGGAUUUCCAACGCCGGCGUACGUCCAUGGGAGGAGACCAUCCAACGGCAAUGAGAUGGUCGUCGGCCAUGGCGGUCGGUGGCGGUGGGGGGCUAAAGGAAAGAGGGGUCCAUUUGUCAAAAUACAUGGUCACUACCAAUGA